GCGGGUGUAGUUCAAUGGUAGAACUUCAGCCUUCCAAGCUGACCGCGAGGGUUCGAUUCCCUCUACCCGCUCCA
rnacentral:tRNA from 1 species